UGUUUGACGUCACGCAGUCGCCGCGCGCACCGCUAGGAGCCGCGACACACAAAAGCUGGCAGACAAACAGAGAGGGAGAGCCUCGAGUAACAGCAGCGGACUUGAACACUUCCUUAAAACCACUCAAGCGUUUAAAGCCGAAGCUCCGGGAAAAGAAAAAAUCUUAAAAAAGAAACUUAGAGUCAGGCUAACGAGGAGCCUUUGGUGAGUGGUCACCAUGCCACCCUUCCUGCGUAUCACCCUCAGUAAUUACGAUGUGGGCGCGCUGUCUCCUCUUUCUGAUGCUCCCAUCUGUGCCAUCAGGAUAAAAGAGUCUAUCGACACAGAGAGAGGGAAGACCCUGGUUCAGAGGAAGCCCACCAUGUACCCCCCCUGGAAGUCCAAUUUUGAUGCUCAUAUCAAGGAGGGGCGUGUCCUAGAAGUUGUUCUUAUGCAGAGUAAUGAGGAGCCAUUGGCCAAGGCCACAAUGGGCGUGUCUGUGCUGGCAGAGCGCUGCAAAUCCAAGUCUAGAGGCAGCGGACGUGCUGAGUUCUGGGUGGACCUGCAGCCUUCUGGGAAGAUUCAGAUGGCUGUGCAGUUUUUUUUGGAGGAUGGUGAUGCAGUGGCUGCUAGGCCGACCGUGAAGGCUCCUACUGAAGACGGGUUGAUGACCCUGAACAGGAGGAGGGGCGCAGUCAAGCAGCCCAAGAUUCUUGUCAUCAAGAACCAUGAGUUCACGUCCACCUUCUUCCACCAGCCCACCUUCUGCUCUGUCUGUAGAGACUUUCUCUGGGGGCUCAACAAGCAAGGAUACAAAUGCAAACAAUGCAAUGCAGCAAUCCACAGGAAGUGCAGCGACAAAAUCAUUGGCAAGUGCACUAGAACAGCGACCAACAGUCGUGAGACUAUGUUCCAGAAAGAACGUUUCAAUAUUGACAUGCCACAUCGCUUUAAAACUUACAACUACAAGAGCCCCACCUUCUGUGACCACUGUGGAAGUCUACUGUGGGGUCUGUACAAGCAGGGCCUUAAAUGUGAAGACUGUGGCAUGAACGUACAUAGUGGCUGCACAAGCAAAGUGGGCAAUCUUUGUGGAAUCAACCAGAAACUACUAGCAGAGGCUUUGUCUCAAGUCUCCCAGAAAUCUGUGAAGAAAUCUGAGGACUCCCCUGCACCAGAUAUUGGAAUCUACCAAGAUGUCAGAAAUGCAACAGUGGACCCUAGUGCAGGUGGCAAUGGGAAGGGUCCUAGCCCUAGCCCUGCCCCAGCCCCAACUACAGUUUCCCAGGCACGCCUCUCCCUCAACCAGCUAAUAUUCCACAAGGUUCUGGGAAAAGGCAGCUUUGGCAAGGUGUUGCUUGCAGAGCUGAAGGGACAGAGCCUGUACUUUGCUGUGAAGGUCCUGAAGAAGGACGUCGUUCUCAUGGAUGACGAUGUGGAGUGCACCAUGGUGGAGAAAAGAGUCCUUUCCCUUGCCUGGAACAACCCUUUUCUCACUCAUCUCUAUGCCACAUUCCAGUCAAAAGAGCACCUCUUCUUUGUAAUGGAGUACUUGAAUGGAGGUGACUUGAUGUUUCACAUCCAAGACAAGGGACGAUUUGAUCUCAACAGAGCUACAUUCUAUGCUGCUGAGAUUAUAGUGGGACUGCAAUUCCUCCACUCAAAGGGAAUAAUCUACAGAGACCUGAAGCUGGACAAUGUGAUGCUGGACAAGGACGGACACAUAAAGAUAGCAGACUUUGGCAUGUGCAAAGAGAAUGUCUUUGGAGAUGUCAAAGCGAGCACAUUCUGUGGGACACCAGAUUAUAUCGCACCGGAGAUCCUGUGUGGACAGAAGUACACAUUCUCAGUGGACUGGUGGUCUUUUGGUGUCCUGGUGUAUGAGAUGCUAAUUGGUCAGUCGCCUUUCCAAGGUGACGAUGAGGACGAGCUCUUUGAAUCCAUCAGGUCGGACAUUCCUCACUACCCUCGGUGGAUCUCCAAGGAGUCAAAGAGCCUGCUUGACCUGUUGUUUGAGCGAGAUCCCACUCGCAGAUUGGGUGUUGUGGGGGACAUCCGAGGACACCCAUUCUUCAAAAACAUUAACUGGACAGCACUGGAGAGGAGACAAGUGGAGCCUCCUUUCAAGCCUAAAGUGAAAUCCCCCAGUGACCACAGCAACUUUGAUCGUGAGUUCCUGAAUGAGAAGCCGCGUCUCUCCCAUGCUGAUAAAAACCUCAUUGAUUCUAUGGACCAGGCAGCUUUCGCUGGCUUUUCCUUCAUCAACCCCAAACUGGAACCCAUAAUAACCAAAUAAGAAAGUAAAAACGGCAUCCUCAGAUGGCUCAUCACUUCCAGCAGGCUUCUUACCCAAUUCCCUUUGUCUUCGUGUGGUGGAGGGCCUGAGCUUGACAAUGAAGUUUUCUUUUGUUUUGUUUUUUCAGUUCCCCAAAAGAGGAAAAGAUCAAAUAAAACCAAGAUGUUGUUGGAAGCUAAGUGUAAUAAUAUCUCAGCUAUCAAACUUGUACAGGUGUAUAAAAUAGUGUCUGGAAAUUAAGGGAGUUUCAUCAGAAACCAGUGUUACCAUUAUUAGUCUGGGGACAGGUGUGUAUAGUAGAAUAUAUUCAAUCUUUGGGCACUUUUCUUUCCCUUUUCCACAUGAUCACACUUUGAAUCUGUAAGUAUCAUUUAGUGUACUGUAUCAUAAAUUUUUAUUUACAGACAGAAAUGCAGCACCUUUGUUUAGUCAUAGAAAUUAAUACACCUAGCAUUGCUUAGUCAAGCCGUGUUUGUGUUUGUGUGAAAGACAGAGUGUGUGUGGUGCAUGCAUAAGAGCCUGUGGGUGCGUGCAGGUAUUUUUGUAUGUAAAUGGUGCCUCUGUAGCCAGUAACAUUAACUGUUGGUGUACGAAUUCUCAGCUGGUCCAGGUAAAGGUGCCGUGAAUUUAAGUCUAGCUGAAAUAAAGUUGUUUUUUGUUUUGUUUUGUUUUUAAAUGCUAGAAUUUACAUUUUCCCUCAUUGACUGCACUCUUGUUUAGAAACUAGACAUGCAUUACCCACAGUGUCACAUUCACUUUAAAAAAAUGCCCAUGAUACCCACUUUUCUUGUGUUAUUUAUCCAACACUGGUGUUAAAACUCAUUCAGACUCAAGCACAGUGCAAACACUUGUUCCACACAUAGCAUUAUGUUUUUCUUUGGGCUUGCAAAAGAUUUCAUGAAAGACUUGCAGCAGCCGUUCGGCACCAUGCCUGUAUGUGCUGAAGGACGUGCUUUUAUGGGGGGGGUCACUGUAAGGACAGAUCUUUAAUAUGUCUUAUAUUACUUGAAUGCAGGAAUUUUAACAUGGAAAUAAUAUUGCUGUAUAUGGAAGAUUAAAAUGUAUGUUACUAUGAGCUUUCUAUAAGUUAUGGGUGGACUUAUUUUUUACUCUCCUCAUCUUUUACAUUUGAUUCUGAAUAAAUAUACUGUAAACUCCUGAGAAGUCAUGCCCUUUCUUCUGCUUUAAAUCCAUUUUGCAUCCCAGUUAUUAUUGGUACAGGUUAAGAAAACGUUUACUUGGUUCACGUGCACCUUUGUACUACUGGCAUUAUGUUAGGAAAAGACCUGUGGUAAUUUACCGCCACCUAGCGAUCAGGUGUUUUUAUUGCAGCUUAAAGAAGGGUGAAAAAAAAAAAAAAGGCGAGGAAACGUUCAUGCAGCGCGCUCGCCUUUUUAUGACCUGUCCUCGUCCUCUGUCCCCCACCCCGCCCCGACGCAUUUCGGUGUUUUAAGUCUUAGUGCAGACUGUGGACAAAUAGCAAACAAGAGACAGGAAACUGAAAGCUGCACUGGGAGGCAAACGUGUUCAACUUGUUCGGAGAUUUGCCUCUCUAUGCAAACAGCCUUAAGCCUAAUGCAGCGUUAAAGUUGCAGGCCAUUUUAAAAAGAAAAAACGACCCAACCCAAAUGACAAAUUAAAAAUAACACGAUCAAAAAGAUAAAUUGAAAAAUGCGGCACGGUUAACAAAUACUUUCUCAUUCAGCAGCAGAUUUAUUUGGGGAAACCCAAAUUCCUUCUCGUCUAGUCGAAAGCUUUUAGUGCAAGGCAGCUCCACACUGGAAUAAAAAUCACCAGAUACAUUUUGGAAAUAAAUGCGUGCCCCCCUCCCCCAGUCCCUGUCACUUAAAUUUAUUCACGGCUCUGCGAUUGUUUCGACUGUUUGUGCAAGAUCCGAUCGCCUUUCUGUGGCCAACAUUUACUGUAUUGUUUCCACCUGAAAAAGAAAAAAAUAAACGCUUUUAAAAAUAUUUGUAGGCAUCCGUAAGGCUGGGCCAAGUGAGCGGCAAAAUGUGUUUUAGAUACCGGGUGAGGCUUGAAGAGCUGAAGACGGGUUUAUCGAAACGAGGUGUACACUUGUUUCAUAAGGAAAGCGCCUUUCUUGCACAAAAUAGGUAGACUUUGUGCGCCGCACUCAGUGUCAGCGCAUAUUUCCAGCAGUUUCUCCCGCCCUCUCCCCCCAACAAAAAAAGAACCACAAAAAAACCCACAAAAAAAAAAUAAACGGCUUGGCAUCCUUGCGCAGCUUGAGUAUCCUGACAGCAAAGACGCGUAGAAUUGUAUCCUUCAGUGUGAUUGUCCAUUUUAAAAGUACGGGACGUAUGUCAGGCAUUGUCUGUGAGCUUAUUUUAUUUACUUAACAGAUAUUACAGUGAAUGGAAAUAAACCAACUCGAGGUCAUCUUCAAUAACACAGCCGAUAGCCUACUUCAAUACAGAAUGAAUUGCUUUUCUUUUGUAGCAGAAAAAGAAGCCUAUUCCACUUAUCGAAAUUGUGUCGAUUAUACGUGCAAUUAAUUCCGGCUCAGCCAUUAACUAAGUGUUGAUUCCGCUGGGUAUAAAAGAAGCCCUUUAACGGCUGGUGAGGCUGACCCUCCCCUUCUGUACGAACACGGCAAACAUUUAGCUUUUUUUCUUUUAUUUUUGUGUUAUAGAUAGAGUCUUCACUCCUGUUGUGUGUCAUUUUUAUUGUGUGUGUGAAGAUGGAAGUCAGUGUGAUGUAGCCAGGCUCAGAGGCAUAUAGGCGGCAGAACAUGCGCAGUGGCCGCUCGUGCCAUAUUGGAAUGAGGUCGUGAACGAGAACUACGUUAAGCUAACGGCACGCUGCCGAAACAAAGCCGGAAGUAUCUGCGGAUUAAUCCUCGUCACAGCAAAAGCCCUGCUCGUUGCUCGGGCAACGGCUGUAAAGCGGUGGCUCGUGAAGGCGGUUUUAUUGUGAAACGUCCCACCGGGGCCUCGGCUUUUUAUUCGCGCUACGCUAACGCUGCUGAGAGCAAGCAGGCGGAGAGGAACGGCAUCUAAAAAGCGACUUGGAAAAACUACUUAGCGAGUUUUGGAGUCCUAGUUGGCCGCGAGGGCACCAGCAUGAGCCAGGAGACACUGGUGUCUGG